rnacentral:rRNA from 1 species
UACGGAGGGUGCGAGCGUUGUUCGGAAUUAUUGGGCGUAAAGGGCGCGUAGGCGGUUGUGUAAGUCAGAUGUGAAAUACUCCGGCUUAACCGGGGAACUGCGUUUGAAACUACACAGCUAGAGUACAGGAGAGGGAAAUGGAAUUCCCGGUGUAGAGGUGAAAUUCGUAGAUAUCGGGAGGAACACCAGUGGCGAAGGCGAUUUUCUGGCCUGAUACUGACGCUGAGGCGCGAAAGCGUGGGGAGCAAACAGGAUUAGAUACCCUGGUAGUCCACGCUGUAAACUGUGAACACUAGGUGUGGGAGGUGUAAUACCUUCUGUGCCGUAGCUAACGCGUUAAGUGUUCCGCCUGGGAAGUACGGCCGCAAGGUUGAA